GUGGUUUAAUUCGAUGCAACGCGAAAAACCUUACCUACCCUUGACAUGUCAAGAAUUUUGCAGAGAUGUGAAAGUGCUCGAAAGAGAGCUUGAACACAGGUGCUGCAUGGCCGUCGUCAGCUCGUGUCGUGAGAUGUUGGGUUAAGUCCCGCAACGAGCGCAACCCUUGUCAUUAGUUGCUACGAAAGGGCACUCUAAUGAGACUGCCGGUGACAAACCGGAGGAAGGUGGGGAUGACGUCAGGUCCUCAUGGCCCUUAUGGGUAGGGCUACACACGUCAUACAAUGGCCGGUACAGAGGGUUGCCAACCCGCGAGGGGGAGCUAAUCCCAGAAAACCGGUCGUAGUCCGGAUCGUAGUCUGCAACUCGACUGCGUGAAGUCGGAAUCGCUAGUAAUCGCGGAUCAGCUUGCCGCGGUGAAUACGUUCCCGGGUG
rnacentral:rRNA from 1 species